AUUGAACGCUGGCGGCAGGCCUAACACAUGCAAGUCGAACGGUAACAGGAAACAGCUUGCUGUUUCGCUGACGAGUGGCGGACGGGUGAGUAAUGUCUGGGAAACUGCCUGAUGGAGGGGGAUAACUACUGGAAACGGUAGCUAAUACCGCAUGACGUCGCAAGACCAAAGAGGGGGACCUUCGGGCCUCUUGCCAUCGGAUGUGCCCAGAUGGGAUUAGCUAGUAGGUGGGGUAACGGCUCACCUAGGCGACGAUCCCUAGCUGGUCUGAGAGGAUGACCAGCCACACUGGAACUGAGACACGGUCCAGACUCCUACGGGAGGCAGCAGUGGGGAAUAUUGCACAAUGGGCGCAAGCCUGAUGCAGCCAUGCCGCGUGUAUGAAGAAGGCCUUCGGGUUGUAAAGUACUUUCAGCGGGGAGGAAGGGAGUAAAGUUAAUACCUUGACUCAUUGACGUUACCCGCAGAAGAAGCACCGGCUAACUCCGUG
rnacentral:rRNA from 1 species